GCCUGGCUGGUUCAAUCGGUAGAGCAUGAAACUCUUGAUCUCGGGGUUGGGAGUUCAAACCCCAUGUUGGGCG
rnacentral:tRNA from 1 species